ACUUGUUUUUCUUCUUCUCUCAUCUACUAAUAAAAUGGUCACUCCAACAACAGAAGUCCAAGAGGAUGCAUUGUGGCCAUUAAAUAUAAGGACCUUAAGUCCUAAGCUAGAAACAACCCAGAGAAUUUCGGAGUCGAAAGAGACCUCAAGUCUUUCGAGUAUCCCCAGAUUUCUUGUAUAGAUUAGUCCUGAGAGGCGAAGUGCCAGGCCCAGAGUCUGACAGGCAAGCGGAGCAGGCUUAGGACCUGGUUUUCUGGAAUUCAGAUGGGUUCUUUGUGCUACGCUGAACAGUUUCCUUUCUGAAGCUGGGUAAUGAAACAGGCAAUUGGUAUUUGAAAAUGUCAGCAUAGGAAGAUGGGCGAGGAAAACACUGCAUUUUUAUUUCACGAGGAUUUGGGGAACUCAUAAUAGAAAUUUUGGAUAUUUUGUUUUUAAAUAAGACUGUAGCCUUUACUAAAAGGUUGAGCAUAUGUGCCUGGGUAAAACCACCUGGGGGGAGUGGUGCUGCCAAACGCCAUGCUCCUUGGAAAUUAGUGAAGUUCAACCCAUCCUUGCCCCAGACCGUGACUUCCCUCACAUCUAUCAGCUGGGGCUCCUUCAAGUGAGACUCCACACCGCCAUCGACAAGGCCAAAUCCCAGGGCACAGUCAGACCUGUAGGGUGUUCAUCCUGGCUUCCCCUACACUUUCUGUGAAGUAUGGCUUGCUUCUUCAUAUUCUGAGUUAGCCUUUGAAUUAGGGAGGUAGGCGCAUCCCUUAGAGCCCCAGUACAUUGCGUACAUUCCCAGAGUCAGGUGGCUCCAGUCCUGUCUCCCGUGUUUUAUUUUAAUUGCGCCGAGAUCUUAAAAUGCAAUGUUGAAUCUCGGAGACUCCAGGUUACUGUUACUAAUAAUUCCCCUGGUUGCCCUCAGGUUUGCUCUGAAGACCAGAAGAGCCAAGAGUUGGGAAAGCAAUAUACCUCUUGUGAAGAUUCUCUUACCACGAGUUCAAGAAACCUGCAGCUUGUACAGCUUUUGCACCUUGGGUUAACCAUUUAAAUGCUGUAUUUUGCUCUCACAGAAAGUACUGGGAAGUCUGCUACCCUUAGUAAUUUGCUGCCCUAGGCAACUGCUUGUUUGGGCUCAGUUCUCCCAGCUGGAGUCAUUGUUCCAACUUAUUUGUACGUUUUUUGAGUCUGUAAACUGGAGCUCAUUCUAUAGACCAAACUGGUCUUGAACUCAGAAAUUUGGCUGCCUCUGCCUCCCAAGUGCUGAGAUUGAAGGCAUGCACCACCACGGCCCAGCAGAACUAACCCAUUCUUAUUGGAGCUACAUCAAUCCCUUUCUCUGAGUGGACUCUACCAGGGCAUAAUUACUUCAUCAAGGUUCUACCACCUGACCACACCAUUAUGCUGAUGACCAAAGUGCAACAUGAGUUUUGUCAGGACAAGCAAAAUGUACACUCUGGAUCCCCACCGCACCUCACCAUCUGUCGCCACAACUCUGGAGAUGAGGGAUACCAGCUAUUAUGAAGGCUCAAUAACCCAAUUGGUUCUUUCUAUUUUCAAAAUAAAUUCUAGAACUCUCUUUACAGAAGUCUUGUGUCAGUAGAAAUCUG
rnacentral:lncRNA from 1 species